GAUGAAGAACGUAGUGAAAUGCGAUACUUGGUGUGAAUUGCAGAAUCCCGUGAACCAUCGAGUCUUUGAACGCAAGUUGCGCCCGAAGCCAUUAGGCCGAGGGCACGCCUGCCUGGGCGUCACACGUCGUUGCCCCCCCAUCUACUCCUUCGGGAUUGCGGGGGGCGGAUGAUGGCCUCCCGUGCGCCUCGUCGCGCGGUUGGCAUAAAUGCCAAGUCCUCGGCGACGCACGCCACGACAAUCGGUGGUUGCGAAACCUCGGUUGCCCGUCGUGUGCGGUCGUCGCGCAUCGAGGGCUCGAAAAAAUUGCCGGGCUCCGGCUCGGCUUUCAACGCGACCCCAGGUCAGGCGGGGUUACCCGCUGAAUUUAAGCACAUCAAUAAGCGGAGGA
rnacentral:misc_RNA from 1 species